rnacentral:lncRNA from 1 species
UCGGCGGUGAAGGCCAUUCCUGGUGUCGUCGGAUCAUAGGUAACUAAUCCUACGAAAGGAUUAUAAGCCUUUCUCACCAGCAGAUUCUGGAAUAAAAUUUCCUUUUAUAGGAUUACUACUUCUAGAACCCAUGAAAACUUCGAUCAUAUACGAUCUCCGACGCAACAACAAUUGAAAUUAAAGCCGACGAUGGAUCGUCGGCAACUAGAGACAACGGUGACAGAGAGCGAGGAUUGAAUACUGAUGUGGCUUUUACAAGACGACAUUAGGGUUGUUCUUGAACAUAGACGAUGCAAAUUGGGGGCUGGGUAACUUGAAUUUUCUGUUAAUAUAUUUCAAUGUAUCUUAUUGUAUUUUAUUAUAUUCAUUGUCUGUUUUUUUCAAUGUAUUUCAACAUAUCUUGUUGUAUUACAUAUAUUUC